GGGUAUAGCCCAAGUGGUAGAGCACAUGCUUAGCAUGCACGAGGUCCUGGGUUCAAUCCCCAGUACCUCCA
rnacentral:tRNA from 1 species